rnacentral:lncRNA from 1 species
AUGUCGACCAGGACAAGGCAGCAUCAUGAGUGCUAUGACUCGCAAAAACGCAUGUCAGGACAUUCUCUGCAAAGAGCUUUUGAUGAGAAAAUGCCCUCCUAUGUGUGGUCCCUCUUUUUACUUUUCCUUUUGUUGGAUGGACUGGUGGACAUAAAUUGUAUCUGGACCUACCAGAACAGGGCAGGGCAAUUCUUGCCUCUUGGACAUUGCCUCACUUGGCCAGAGCGCUGUUCAUGGACACAAAAAUCCACCAAUUAUCCAACUGUCUACUCAGCUUCUUUGUCUGGAUCUCCCAGAGGGCACCCACACUCACAUGUCCAAAGAAAUAAUUCAGAGGUAACAUAACAUGCCUGUGAUAAGGGGAAGGAAAACUUUCCGGACUCUCUGAAGGAGAUCACUUUACAUGCUGUGUACUUUGGGUCCAGCCUCAGCAGAGAGAAGAGCAAGUGGUCAUGCCAAAAUGGUGUGGGUCAGAGAAG